rnacentral:rRNA from 1 species
AGCUGCUGCGGUUAAAAGCUCGUAGUUGGAUCUCAGUUCCAGGCGGGUGGUGCAUCUAACCGAUGCCACAGCCCGGGCUGAACAUCAUACCUCCCGUCCCCUGGUGUCCUUCACUGGAUGCCUCUGGGUGGUCGGUGCAUUUACUUUGAAAAAAUUAGAGUGCUCAACGCAGGCGCAUUGCCUGAAUACUCAUGCAUGGAAUAAUGGAACAAGACCCCGUUUCUGUUCUGUUGGUUUUUGGAAAACGGGGUAAUGAUCAAGAGGGACAGACGGGGGCAUUCGUAUUGCGGCGCUAGAGGUGAAAUUCUUGGACCGUCGCAAGACGAACUACUGCGAAAGCAUUUGCCAAGAAUGUUUUCAUUGAUCAAGAACGAAAGUUAGAGGUUCGAAGGCGAUCAGAUACCGCCCUAGUUCUAACCAUAAACGAUGCCAACCAGCAAUCCGCGUGAGUUACUCAAAUGACUCUGCGGGCAGCUUCCGGGAAACCAAAGUAUUUGGGUUCCGGGGGAAGUAUGGUUGCAAAGCUGAAACUU